GAUUACUACCCGUUGAGCCUGACAAUCUAGCCAACUUUCUAUCCACCUUAUAGUCCAUUCAUCCAGCCCAUACUUGGAGGGUAUGGAGGAAAAGAGGAGGAAAGAGAAACAUAGCUGAGCUUUGCUGCUAUUGGCUAAUACAAGGACACAUGUUCUAAGUGUGGAAGAAGGUUCAUGUUUUAAAUUCUAGAUUAGUCUCACAGCACAUUGUGUUGAAUUUUAUCUAUAUGUAAGCAUCAGUUCUAACGACAAAGCAAUCCCUCCAGUAAUAUGAGUGGAAGUCAGAUAGGAACUCAUUGGCCUUAAAUAUCCUCUAAACGCUGAUGCUUUGGUAAUGUAUUGUUCUUAAAAGUCAAGUGGUUGCUUAUGGCAAGUUUUGUUGUUUUGUUUUUGCCAUCAGUUGAAGCUCUUUGACUGUAGCUGAGUAGGCCUAGAAGCAUGGGUGCGGUUAGAUGAGCCAUCCAUUAAAAGAAAACUUGAUCUAAUUGUGAAAAAUACAUGAACCAUUUAGAAAUGUUAAAUAUAAUUUUAAAAUGGCUGAAAAACUGAGACGUCAGUAGCUUGUCUUUCUGAUGGUGCAGUGUCUGACGGUAGCAGAGUUAGCUGUCUCUGGAGUAGCAGGGAUCUGGGAGAUCUCACAGUUGGUUUUAAGGUAAGCCCUAAUAUUUUUUUUUGCUUGAGUCUCACAUUGGUCCAAUAUGAAGAAUACUUAAAAAUUUUCUCCAUACUGUUUUUCUAUAAGUAAUAGAAUUUACUUUUUAAAAAAACCUGAGCACCUCCUACUUGCCUUUUGCAUUUAGCUGAGCAAUGCUCCGGUGUGUGAUCCUGUCGUAAUGGAAUGACUGACUAGCUGGGAAGUAACAGCAAAAUCCAUCACUUCCUUGAGUCAAAAGAACCAUUUGCAGGUGUGGAGUUACUGAAACAAUGACAGGUAUUUCUAACUGUUCUCAAAACUCACUGUAGACAUGCACAGUAAUCCCCACACCCCGUAAUUAGAAUGGUUCUUCACUACUCAAUGUAGAUUUAAGAGUAGAGGUCUAGUAUUACUAAGACUUCAUUAGGCUUUCAAAACACACAAUAGAACACAUUUACAAGUGUAUAUAUUAUGAAAUAUCAUGAAUAAUUACAACUAAUAUAGAAUUGUUAGAUAAAGUACAAUUUAGGAUGCCCUCUCCUUGCUAUUUCUUAUUGACUGCUUACUAAUGUAUAAUAUUCAGCCCUUCACAGUGGGUCUCCUGGUCACUCCCUUGCAAGUGUCCGUCAGCCAACUUCUUGUCUGUCGCUGGGGAAGCCCUGCCCAUUCUGGAGUCAAAGGUCUCUUGCUGCUGCCCCCAGCGCUGGUUUCCCGUACACUUGUGGAGACAGCCUGGGAUUCCUCACUGAGGAGAGGUCAGACGUCAUCCAUUGUGACAGGGAGCUGCUGUCCAUCAGCAGUGCAUGUCCUUCCUUCUCUUCUGAACAAAAAGGGAGCCAGCUGGGGUCAGCUGUCCAUCUGUUGGCUUAGUUUUGACUCCUCAGUGUUAUCUACUUGUCUGCUCCCCAGUCUUGGAUGCACAUCAUAGUGAUAUACAUUAUGGAGUGAACUUUCAGAACCCCGAUGAGUCCUGGAAAAAGCCCACAAUGGAGUGUGAGGUAGAAUAUGGAGGUGAAUGCAUGACAGUGGUUCUCAGAUAUUUCCUGUUUUGCUCUGCACUGAGCUAAAUGAGUGUAAGAGGUCCUUCCAGUUGGAGGUCUACCGAGCUUGCUGAGUCUCUGCAGGAGAUAUUGGACCCCAUUGCUACUGCUACAGGACCGCUUAGAGUAAAGGUCUAACAAGACACUCUUUCCUCAUUGUUCAGGUUCUGCCUAAGCUUGCUGGAGGCUGAGCAGCCUAGAAGUUCUAGGGCUAGAUGGCAAACUUGCAUCCUGUGGAAAGGGGUCUCUCCCAGGAGAAGCCGGUGGAGUUGCUCAGCCAUUAGUAGUGUAGUGAUAUGGAAUGUGUUAUUUCACAGGAAUAAAUUCCUUCUGAUCAGACGGACACAAAACUGGCAAUCUGUACAAACUCAAAAGAAUCCAUUUUCAGAAAAAUAAAUUACUAAGGGGAGAGGAGGGACCAUUUCUCAAUAAAUAUGCAAUUCUGCUCACCUAAGACCUUGAAAGGUAAUUAUCUGGGGAUGGGAUUCUAAUGUUGGGGUCCACAAAGGUUAUUCUAAAUACAUCUGCAGCCCCAAGCCUCCCCAAGCUCCCUUCCACCCUAAAAAAAUCCCACACCCAUCCAAGCUGUAGGUUUGGCUGCUUCUGCUCAUCUAGGCGCACCUGUGUUGAGAGUGUCAAAAAUAUGUCCUUGUGCCCCAAGUCCCAGGUGCUUGGAGUGUGAAAGAAAACAGUUCUAGGGUUCCACCUUU